rnacentral:lncRNA from 1 species
AAAGAUCUCAGUUAUGCCAAGCAGAAGAUUGAGGCAAUUGACGAGGAGAACUUGACCUACAGCUUCAGCUUGAUUGAAGCCAAUGUUUGGAAGGAUGCAGUUGAAAAGGUGACUUACGAGCACAAGUUCGUGCCAACUCCUGAGGGAGGUUCCAUUUGCAAGAGAACCAGCACAUACUACAUCAAGGGUGAUGCUGAGAUCAACAAAGACCAAAUCAAGGAUGUGUAUGGAAAAAAGACAGCAGGCUUGUUCAAGGCUGUUGAGGCCUACUUCUUGGCCAAUCCAGAUGCCUAAAUAUGGGAAUUCCCAUGUUUGAUAGUCUUUUUGGUGUGGCUUGUUUCUUUCUUUUCUCUGGCCUUGGCAGUAGUGUGGAAAAUGCUUUUUCUUAUUUUUUUGGAUAAAUGUUUUUCUGCCUUGAUAGUAUUUGAUUUUGUGGUCAUGUGGUUAUUUGUAUGGAAGCAUUUCUAUUAAGUUAUUGUAUUGUUUGCAAUAUUCAUAAUAAAAAGCUUUUUGUUUCCUUAUAUAUUUUUUGAGAGGACUUGAGUUUAUGGAACUUUCUUCUCUUUCCUUUUUUUUUUAAAUAAAAAAUGAUAAUACAUUGAAGAACAAAAACAUUUGUCUUGUCGAUUAUGUGCACAACUAUUCGGCCAUGUGGAAAGAUUUUAUAUUUGUAGAAUCCAACCAAUUGAAUGAUCAAGAUGGUUAAAGAAUUUUUUUUUUAUUAAACUUCACUUUAUUUAUAAGUGGGUAUUGUUAAACAAUCCAAAUCAAACAAAGAAAAAUACGAAGAUAAAAGAAAAGGAAGCUAGGAUUUCAUCAAUCACAAUAUUUUUAAGUUCAUAAUUUUAACCUAAAUACAAAAAAAAUUAUAUAUAGGCAAGUUAGUGGAAAGAUGAUUUUUUUGUAGAGAAAAGAAACUUCUGAAAUUACUCAACCUGAGUACUAGAAUCUGUGAUAGAGCCUGAUGAAACUCCUGCUGCAGUAUUGUGGUGUGGUGGUUUAUAACCAUUAGGUGGUGUAUGAGCAUUAGAUUGUGACUGGCUGCCAGACUUUCAAACUUGAUUUUGUUGUCUCAAGUUGGGACACUGAACACAUAUUUCUUCAGCUAAUAACUGAUUGACAAUAGAGUCAGCAGAAAGCAGUGGAGAACGAUGUAAAAUUGAACCUCUAAGUCUUUCAAAAUCACUGCGAAGUACUAUUAAAAAUUGUAUCAAUCGUUGCUAUUCUUUAUGAUCAAUAUAAGCACUAUAUGCCUUUAAUUCACCUAUUCUGUAAGAGCCAAUUGACCCCAAAGAUCUGUUAUAGCAUAAUAAAACUUCUAAAUGUUUAUAUUCUUCUGGUGAAGAGUUCUUAUAUCAUUCUCUAAUUGAUACUGCUUUGCAAAAUUUGAUUGCAUGAAUAAUCUUUGUAGAUGAUCCUAAACCUUCUUUGUUGUCUUAUACUUCAACAACCGUGUACAUAUGGAAUGCUCAACAGAAUUGUUGAUCCAAGUAAUAAUCUUUGCAUUGUUUGUUUCUCAUGCAUCUAUCAAAGCAGCAUACCUAGUCGGUCGUCGGAACCACUAAAAUAUAAUUCUGACUUAACUAUCACAAACAAAAUAAAUUUGUUUUAUGAUCGUGAAAACCAGAUCGAAUCCAAGAGAAAUUUCAUUUAAUCUUCUUACAGUAUACUGAAAUGAGAAAGAACGGGGGAUUUGAAUGAAAAAUUCAAGAAAUAAUAAUAAACAAAUUAAAAUAAAUUAUGAAGUCCAAUAUUCAGUAAACUCAAUGUUGAAGCAUAAAAUUUUAAAAAAAUUCCUCAAAAAUUUUGAGGACUAAAGUAAAAAAUACCUUGACAUUUCACUAUUCAUUGCUACAAUGAAAUGAUAAAGCCUUUUAAUAUAAUAAUAAUAAUAAUAAUAAUAAUAAUAAUAAUAAUAAUGUGAAGCAAUAGCAUCUAUAAAAAUAUAUGUGCAGUGCGCCAUGGUGAUAAAAUGAAAAAUCUCGAGUGUGUAGGCUCGAAGUGUCAAAGAACCAUCUCAACCCAAAAGCUUAAGCUGUUAGGUGAGGUCCCAAGGUAUGAUUUAUAUUAUUCUCUAACAUCCCCCUUAAAUGAAAGUUCUUUGGGCUUGAAACUUGCACAUGCUCAUUUUACCUUGUGCUUAAUUUUUAUCAAAUAAAUGGGGAUGACGAGAUUCGAACUCGUGACCACUUGGUCAUCAAGGCUUUGAUACCAUGUCAAAGAACCAUUUCAACCCAAAAGCUUAGGCUGUUAGGUGAAGCCCCAAGAUAUGGUUUAUAGUAUUCUCUAACACACCUCCUUAAGUGAAAACCCUUUGGACUUGAAAUUUGUACAGACUCAUAUUACCUUGUGCUUGAUUUUUAUCAAAUAAAUAGGGAUGUUGAGAUUCGAACUCGUAACCGCUUAGUCAUCAAGGUUCUGAUACCAUGUCAAAGAACCAUCUCAACCCAAUAGUUUAAGUUGUUAGGUGAGGUCCCGAUGUAUCAUUUAUAUUAUUCUCUGACAAAAAGAAAUCAAUGCAUUAAAGUAAAUGCCAGAUAUUAAGAGAUAUGCAUUAUCCAUAUUAAUUUUUUAGCAAAAUUAAUUUAUUGAUUUGGGAAGGUCUUUGCUUAGCUGUGACCCUAUCAGUCUCACAAUCUACUACACCCCAUCAAAAAAAUCAUGUUCUCCCAAGGUGUCUUGUAAUAAUGUAAGAAAUUAUUAGAUGAUACUAGAUAGGAAUGAUUAUAAUUGGAUCGCUUAAUUUAAAAAAUAUCCAAGCACAUCUCUAUUUAUUUAAAUUGGAAUCACUAAUAAUAUUAUAAAAAAGGACACUAAAAACAUGCUGUGAUAAUUCUUUUUAUUAUUUCCCAUAUCAAAUAAAUGGAUCAUAAAUGAAAAAUAUCAUUCUAAAAAUUAUUAAUUUUUUUAAUUAAAACAAUUACGGAAAAAAAAGAUAAAACAAUUAUUUGAGAAUUUUUUUAAAAAACUUUACAAGUCUAAAUUGAGACAAAAAAAAUCAGGAACUUAAUUGAGAUUUGGGCUAUAGUUUGAAAACUAAUUUAAGAUGUUUUUUUUUUUAUUAUUAUUAUUGCUGGAGGCAGUCGUGCCUACAAGAUUAUUUUUAAAAAUAAUGCAACUUGGAAUUCCCUUUUCAAUUAUCUCAAAAGAGAGAAGGAAUACUAUUUAUUUAUUAUAUAUUUGACGAUUAUAUUAUCUGGAGGCCUGUCAAAUUAUACCUUCUACAUUGGUUGGCGCUUCACUUGACCAUCUGCUAAUGAUUGUUUACGUUCUUUGUUUUUUAUCCUGUUGCUGUGGAUUUGGGGUUGCCUUCUUUGUCUGCGGUAGUAGAUGAUGAUGUAGGUUGUUUGAAUACAUUUAAAUAUAUUAAAAUAAUAUUUUUUUUAUAUUUUAAAAAAAAUUAUUUUUUAUAUCAACGUAUUAAUAUCAAAAUAAUUCAGAAAUAUAAAAAAAUUAAAAAAUUAAAUUUUAAUAAAAAAUAAAUUGAAAGUCAAUCUCAAACCCCUUGUAUCUCCAUCUCUAUUCUCUUAUAAUUAUUUUAAACUUUAGGCUUGACUUUAAAGUUUUCAAAUCCCCAUUUUUCAAAAUAUUUUUCCAUGAAAUUGAUAUACAGAUUUUCCCUCUUUCUUUUAUUUAUUGAAUAAAUGAUGGGGAAUAUAUAUAGUCAAUUAAAUUUUUUUUUUAUUUGACCAGGACAUGCAUUAUUUAAAACAAAGAAUGACCAUGAACAGAAUAUGAAGAAUUUAGGACUGCUCUUUGAUGCAUGUAUAUUGUGAUCGUUUCACACCACAGCCUUCAAUUUCAUCCAAUAAAUACUACCUCUCCUCCUCUUAUUUCAGCACCAAAAAAACAUCCCGCAAAUCAACAAAAUCUCUCCCCCUUUCAAUCUUUUUGUGAUCUUUAAAAAUCCUAAGUUAUAAUGGGUGUUAUCACUUUGGAAAAUGAGUUUGCCGUCGCUGUCGCCCCGGCCAAGCUUUUCAAGGCAUACUGCGUUGAAAUUGACACUCUUUUGCCUAAAAUUCUACCAGAGCACAUUAAGAGCUCCGAGAUAAUUGAAGGAAAUGGAGGGCCAGGAACCAUUAGGAAGAUCACUUUUGCUGAAGGUUAGUAAAUUAUUUGUUGCAAUUACUUUUAAUUCAAUUAACUAUAUUGAAAUCAGCAUACCACUCGCUGUAUGUACUGAACAAAGAAGUAAAGAAUUAAUAUUUUACUUGCAGGCAAAGAGCUCAGUUAUGCCAAGCAGAAGAUUGAGGCUAUUGAUGAAGAGAACUUGACCUACAGCUUUAGCCUGAUUGAAGCCAAUGUUUGGAAGGAUGCAGUUGAAAAGGUGACUUAUGAGCACAAGUUCGUGCCAACUCCUGAGGGAGGUUCCAUUUGCAAGAGAACCAGCACAUAUUACAUCAAGGGUGAUGCUGAGAUCAACAAAGACCAAAUCAAGGAUGUGUAUGGCAAAAAGACUGAAGGCUUGUUCAAGGCUGUUGAAGCCUACUUCUUGGCCAAUCCAGAUGCCUAAAUACGAGAAUUCCUAUGCUUGAUUGUCUCUUUUGUUUGCUUGCUUGUUUUUAAUCAAAAGGAGAGUGGCUUUGGCGUGACAAUAGUUUUUUUUUUCUUUAUUUUUGUUAUAUGCAUCCAGUAUUCCUUGCUGGUGUGGUUAUUUGUACCCAUUUCUAUCCGUGAGUGAACAUUAUUGUAUUGUUUGCAAUAUGAAAUAAAAUCCAACUUGUGAUUAAGUUUUUUUAUCUUCGCAUUAUUAUGAACAUCGAUUGAUUGAUUAUCAACAAUGUAUAUAAGCGUUUUUUUCAUUUCUCUGUGUGUGUAUAUUUGUUUGAAUUUCAUAUUAUUAGAGUAAAAAUUCCUAAUUAAAAUUAAGAACAUGAAUAUUUCAAAAAUAUACAUUACUUGCCGCAACAGGAAAUUCCAUAAGGAUAUAUACUUCAGUCAAUUAAAAUGUCCAAUCCAGGAACUCUAUAUAUACAAAGCAACGACUCAUCUCUCCAAUCUCUCUGCUUCUCAAGGAAUCACGAUUUAGGGAAAAAUCCCCAAAUUAAGGGGCAAACCACUAAAAGGAUUUGCGAAAAGUGUGAAUCUCUCAACCUACCAUUCCGAUUACUUAAUCCGACAUUAGUUAUUCUAAUCUUAGAUCCUAAACUUUUUUUUCAUGCUUUCAUCCCUGCAUGUUGAGAGUUGAAAGAAAAACUCAAAAAAAAAAAACAAGAGAAAAAAAGUGCUCUGUCAAGCACAUUUUAACUAUAUAUAUAAAAAAAAACAAUUUUUAUAUAAAUGAGUUUCUAUUACAAAUAUGAGUUUCAUGGAUGAAGGUAGUUGUUAGAGAAUAAUAUAAAUCAUAUCCUGAAACCUCACCUAAUUGUUUAAGCUAUUGGGUUAAGAUGGUUCUUUGAUAUGGUAUCAGAACCUUGAUGACCUAGUGGUCACGAGUUCAAAUCUCAUCAUCCUUAUUUAUUUGAUAAAAAUUAAGCACAAGGUAAUGUGGGCAUGUAUAAGUUUCAAGUUCAAAUGACUUUCACUUGUUGGGGUGUGUUAAAGAAUAAUAUAAAUCAUAUCAUGGAAACUUACCUAACAGCUUAAGCUAUUGGGUUGAGAUGGUUCUUUGACAUGAUAUCAGAGUCUUGAUGACCAAGUGGUCUCAAGUUCGAAUCUCACUAUCCUUAUUUAUUUGAUAAAAAUUAAGCACAAGGUAAUGUGGGUUUGUGCAAAUUUCAAACUCAAAAAGACUUUCACUUGAGGGGGUGUGUUAGAAAAUAAGCUAUUGGGUUGAGAUGAUUUUUUUAUUUAAAAAUUACAUAAAAAUACUUUUUUAUUUAAUUUUAAUUAUUGUCUUUUUACGAACAUUUAUUUUAAUUUCAGGUAAUUAAUUAGAAACAGGUUUAGGAGAAGUUCCCUGUGAGAGCAGGGACAUUGACUUACAAUAAAAGGUGUGAGAAAUUAAUGUUUCACGCUUAUAUAUAUAGGGUGGAAAAAAGUUAGCCCAUCUCUAUAAGCAUUAAACAUAUAAUUAGAUCUGUGGAUAAGGGUUUUGACUUGUGACUUUUCUUAUGUAUCCCCUGCCUUUUUUUUUUAUUAUUGUAUUAUGAUUUUUAAAAGACCACCUAACGGGGCUGCGCCCAGCAUGAAGGGCUGCCUCCUUUUUCAGCCUCCUUCCGACCAGGCACUUGAAAUAAUGAUAACGUAAGACUUCUUUUUGUAAUGAAUUCUACUACCAUGAAAUUGAUGUUCUAGAAUUCACCCCUUUUUUUUUUUUUUGUAGUAUUGAAUAAAUGAUGGAGAAUUGUCGAUUAAGAAUUUUAUAUGGUUUCGUAGGUGCUUUAUUUGACUAGGACAUAAAUUAUUUAAUUUAAACAAGUAAUGACCAAGAACAGAAUAUGAAGAAUUAAUUAGCACUGGUCAUCGACACAUAUAUGUGAUCCUUUCACACCACAUAGCCUUCAAUUUCAUCCUAUAAAUACUACCUCUCCUCCUCUUGUUUUCAGCACCAACAAAAACAUCUUGCAAAUCAACAAAAUCUCUCCCCCCUUCUCAGUCUUUUAAAAUCCUAAGUUUAUAAUGGGCGUCAUCACUUUGGAAAAUGAGUUUGCUGUUGCUGUCGCCCCAGCCAAGCUUUUCAAGGCAUACUGCCUUGAGACCGACACUCUUUUGCCUAAAAUUCUACCAGAGCACAUUAAGAGCUGUGAGAUAAUUGAAGGAAAUGGAGGGCCUGGAACCAUCAGGAAGAUCACUUUCGCUGAAGGUUAGUAGAUUAUAUGUUGCAAUUACUUUAAUUAUAUUAACUAUAUUGAAAUCAACAUACCACUCGGUAUAUACAAAGUAACAAAUUGAUUUUGCUCUUGCAGGAAAAGAUCUCAGUUAUGCCAAGCAGAAGAUUGAGGCAAUUGACGAGGAGAACUUGACCUACAGCUUCAGCUUGAUUGAAGCCAAUGUUUGGAAGGAUGCAGUUGAAAAGGUGACUUACGAGCACAAGUUCGUGCCAACUCCUGAGGGAGGUUCCAUUUGCAAGAGAACCAGCACAUAUUACAUCAAGGGUGAUGCUGAGAUC